rnacentral:rRNA from 1 species
GUAGAGGGUUCGAUCAUGGCUCAGAUUGAACGCUGGCGGGAUGCUUUACACAUGCAAGUCGAACGGCAGCACGGACUUCUCGUCUGGUGGUGAGUGGCGAACGGGUGAGUAAUGUAAUGGAACGUGCCUAGUAGCGGGGGAUAACUACGCGAAAGCGUAGCUAAUACCGCAUACGCCCUUCGGGGAAAGCGGGGGACCUCUCGGGCCCUCGCACUAUUAGAGCGGCCGAUAUCGGAUUAGCUAGUUGGUGGGGUAACGGCUCACUCAAGGCGACGAUCCGUAGCUGGUUUGAGAGGACGACCAGCCACACUGGGACCGAGACACGGCCCAGACUCCUACGGGAGGCAGCAGUGGGGAAUUUUGGACAAUGGGGGGAAACCCUGAUCCAGCCAUCCCGCGUGUGCGAUGAAGGCCUUCGGGUUAAAAGCACUUUUGGCAGGAAAGAAACGGCACGGGAUAAUACCCCGUGCAACUGACGGUACCUGCAGAAUAAGCACCGGCUAACUACGUGCCAGCAGCCGCGGUAAUACGUAGGGUGCAAGCGUUAAUCGGAAUUACUGGGCGUAAAAGCGUGCGCAGGCGGUUCGGAAAGAAAGAUGUGAAAUCCCAGAGCUUAACUUUGAACUGCAUUUUUAACUACCGAGCUAGAGUGGAAGUCAGAGGGAGGUGGAAUUCAUGCGUAGCAGUGAAAUGCGUAGAUAUGCGGAGGAACACCGAUGGCGAAGGCAGCCUCCUGGGAUAACACUGACGCUCAUGCACGAAAGCGUGGGGAGCAAACAGGAUUAGAUACCCUGGUAGUCCACGCCCUAAACGAUGUCAACUAGCUGUUGGGGCCUUCGGGCCUUGGUAGCGCAGCUAACGCGUGAAGUUGACCGCCUGGGGAGUACGGUCGCAAGAUUAAAACUCAAAGGAAUUGACGGGACUCCGCACAAGCGGUGGAUGAUGUGGAUUAAUUCGAUGCAACGCGAAAAACCUUACCUACCCUUGACAUGUCUGGAAUCCUGAAGAGAUUUGGGAGUGCUCGCAAGAGAACCGGAACACAGGUGCUGCAUGGUUGUCGUCAGCUCGUGUCGUGAGAUGUUGGGUUAAGUCCCGCAACGAGCGCAACCCUUGUCAUUAGUUGCUGAAAGGGCACUCUAAUGAGACUGCCGGUGACAAACUGGAGGAAGCAGGUGGGGGACGACGUCAAAGCCCCUACGGCCCCAUGGGUAGGGCUUCACACGUCAUACAAUGGUCGGGACAGGGUCGCCAACCCGCGAGGGGGAGGCUAAUCCCCAGAAAACCCGAUCGUAGUCCGGAUCGCAGUCUGCAACUCGACUGCGUGAAGUCGGAAUCGCUAGUAAUCGCGGAUCAGCAUGUCGCGGUGAAUACGUUCCCGGGUCUUGUACACCGCCUGUCACACCAUGGAGUGGGUUUUACCAGAAGUAGUUAGCCUAACUGUAAGGAGUGGCGAUUACCACGGUAGGAUUCAUGACUGGGGUGAAGUCGUAACAAGGUAA